rnacentral:rRNA from 1 species
CGCGUAGGUGGCUUCGUAAGUCCGUUGUGAAAGUCAAAGGCUCAACCUUUGAAAGCCGAUGGAUACUGCGGGGCUAGAGUACGGAAGAGGCGAGUGGAAUUCCUGGUGUAGCGGUGGAAUGCGCAGAUAUCAGGAGGAACACCAAUAGCGAAGGCAGCUCGCUGGGACGUUACUGACACUGAGGCGCGAAAGCGUGGGGAGCGAACA